GGAUUUUCUUGCCUAUGAGGGAAUAAACAACUUGGACCCAGGGCAGCAGUCGGGUUCUCCCUGUGCCAGGGAAACUACAUGAGCCAUGGUUCUGGCAUUUUCCAUCUGCUUCUAAAACAAGGCACAGAGCCAACAGCUUCCAAGCAACUCAUGGGCUUCAAGACCUCACUCACUUGGGGUGUCCUGGAGUGUGUUACUUCCUGGGAGCUUGAGAGGAACCCGGAU
rnacentral:lncRNA from 1 species